AUGCAUGAAGUUAACUUGAGAGAGUGGAGGGAUGACAGGAAGGCCUAGGGUUCCUCAGCUUUAGACUCCAUUUGGAUGACAACAUGAAAUCAUGCCUGAUUUACAAGAUGUCUACAAUUUCAACCGAACAAUAAAUACAAGUUGAGAGUGGAAAGUGUCAUUGGGCAAGAUAAAUGAGCCAGAAGACAUGAUUGUUCAUGAGAAGAGUAAAACAAAAUUUUUGUUCAAAGUAACUUAAAUCAACAUUGCUGCAGUAUAAAUGCUGCUGUUGAAUGACUCCCCAUGGGCUUCACCUAACAUUCCGUCUAUGUUCAUUUGGCUGUGCAGACUGUGAUUCCAGCACACCAAAGCUUUUAAGCUCUUUCUUUCCAAGAAAACUCAUAGCUAACACCAUUAUUUCCUCACAAAAACAGCUAACAUCUGCAGACUGAAACACCAAAACAAAGAAAAAAAUGUGCACACUUCUGCUAAACUUGGAUGCAAACUUUAUCAGCCAUCUUAGACAAUAAAUCAAUGUU